AUUGAACGCUGGCGGAAUGCUUUACACAUGCAAGUCGAGCGGCAGCACGGGGGCAACCCUGGUGGCGAGCGGCGAGCGGGUGAGUAAUACAUCGGAACAUGCCCAGUCGUGGGGGAUAACACUUCGAAAGAAGUGCUAAUACCGCAUACGUCCUGAGGGAGAAAGCGGGGGAUCUUCGGACCUCGCGCGAUUGGAGUGGCCGAUGUCAGAUUAGCUAGUUGGUGGGGUAAAGGCCUACCAAGGCAACGAUCUGUAGCUGGUCUGAGAGGAUGAUCAGCCACACUGGGACUGAGACACGGCCCAGACUCCUACGGGAGGCAGCAGUGGGGAAUUUUGGACAAUGGGGGCAACCCUGAUCCAGCCAUUCCGCGUGGGUGAAGAAGGCCUUCGGGUUGUAAAGCUCUUUCGGCAGGAACGAAACGGCGAGCUCUAACAUAGCUUGCUAAUGACGGUACCUGAAGAAGAAGCACCGGCUAACUACGUGCCAGCCGCCGCGGUAAUAC
rnacentral:rRNA from 1 species